rnacentral:lncRNA from 13 species
CAGGGCGAGAGCUGCGUCGCAUCGUCAUAGCGUUCUUUCUCGAGCUUUCCAUCCCGGGACACCGAACGCGGUUCGCCAGGGACAGAAAUUAGCUAUCGUUGGCACGGUUAGUCGUCACGCGACGCUGGCGAUCGACGAUUAAUUCGCAGGCGUGCUAAAGUGACGUCUGCGUGUACGUAUUUCGUGAGAUUUAUUCGUUGGGUUAGCAUCGUCUGACAUACGGCCGUUCCUUGACAUUCGUCAACGGAGUAACAUAAAUUUUAUUUACAUUUUGCACAGCGAGCGACCGACUCGAGCGCCAAACGCGACGACCACCGUCGACGCGUGGCGCCAACGCUCCGCGCGGCGUUGUUAUUUAGUAAGGUUGGUGUUUUUAUUCGCGCACGGCGAUCCUCUGUGCAGAUACGGACAGGGAACAGGGACGAGGGUCGUUCGGUGCGUUGCACUGUCGUAGCGUUCUCUCUUUCUCGAGCUUUCUAUCCCGAGACGCCAAACGCGAUUCGCCAGGAACAGCUAUCAUUGUAGCUGUAAUUAGCUAUCAUUGACGAGGUUAGUCGACGCGCGACGCUGGCGAUCGACGAUCGAUUCGCAAGCGUGCCUACGACUGCGUGUACGUUUUCCUGAGAUUUAUUCGUUGUACGUAAGAAUCCAAGAGGUAGGAACGUUAAAUUACUGUUUUCAUUGCAACAUUUGAGCGGAUGAUAAUUUUCUUAAUACGUGAAUUCUAAUUUCUGCACCUCGCGCGUCGUACUUUGCAUUCCUAACCUAUUAGAAAUUGGUCUGAAGUGUAUCGCAGGUAUGAUAAUGAAAUUUUCGCAAGUUGCCUGCUACGUAUGCGGUCGUUACUUUGAUACACGUAGUAACGCGGGAAUGAAAUAGUCGGCGCCAAUUGUCGCAAUCUCGUUUUCAGGUUAUCUCAGGUAGAAAAAGGAACGAUUCCGAGACGAGCGACGUUGCGGCGUGUCUAAUUCGGACGCCGAACGGAUCGUUGCUUCGAUCGCGAUUCCGAUUCUCGUUUUCGCAAAUAUGAUUUUGGGAAAUGUUAUAAAACGCCUGUCGCGAUUAACGCAAUCGGGAGUGCGAAGUUCCGCGCGAUCGUGAUUAACCUCAUUUCGCGGUGCGCGCAUCGCGUUCGAUUAAUGUCGGGUGUGCCGUAUAAAGUGUCGCGCGAUCCUAAUUAACCUUACUUUCGCGAGUGAUGUGUGAGUGUCACGAAAGGACGACGACCAGGAAAUCUGAGAGGAGGAGGAGGCCCGGGGAGGCAUCAGGCGACGGCGGAGCAACUGAGGAUCCAUGUACACUUAUGUAACAACUCCACUGCUGUGCAUCGCAUUUGGUAUUGUCGAGGCUUCAAUACUGCACGUUCGAGGGUAUCCAUUGAUAGACCGAAACUUUACAAGGAUCUUGAUGGAUCGGAAGCGACUAACAUAUAGUACGGACUUGACGUCUCGACUAGCUUUAGUCGGUCGAGAGAGUGACCCUCUGACUUCCGGUGGAACAGACCUACUCCAGCACACGGACACAAUUUACCUUGUGCUUGAGCGGCUGAAGCAGAUAAUGGCUUUGUUGCUCUACCGAUCGAUCGGUCGAACCUAUCUCCAGGCUU